AAGACAUCCUCGUACCUUAGCCGAGAACUCUAUUCGUAUAAAAUUCUUGUUAUAGUUGGUUUUGUUUAGCAAGUAGUAGAAGAUUUGAGGAGAAUAAGAUUAAGAUGUACGCACCAGCACCACCAAAUGUUCCGAGUAUGGCUGGACCAGGAUCUGGUUGGACUCAUCAACACUACCAUAAUACCAUUGGUUCUGGGUUUUUUCGUCGCUACUUUUCUAACUUGUGCUUUGCCCUCUCUUCUUGCUUCUAUUUCCUAUGCUGCUGUUGGGCCUUGGAAGACUGUGUCGGCAGACGAAGUUGGGCUUUAGGCCCUCGUGAUCCUCCUCUAGGCCCAGGCCCAGGACCUUUAUCUAGCCCAUUUGCACCUCAACCUCCUGAUGUUCCCGUUGUGCUUCCCGGCCCACCCGCUCCAGCUGAGGGCACUCUACUGUGAAUUGUGAUAUUUAAUAUUCAGUCAGAGGCAGAUUCAGGUGUUUAAGUUUAUCGGUUCCUAGAAAGACGAUCUCAAGUUGUGUUGAAUAGCAACUACGCAGUUGUGUUGAAUAGUUAAACGAUUGUGCAUCUCAUUCCAUAUAGUAUAGUAAUAUUUGCUUAGCUUAUCCAUCUAUGGAUUGUGAAUUCAUAGAUACGUCCCCCUUUGGUCAAUUCUCUAAUUCCUAUGCAUUUUUCAGUAGCAAUGACUCACCCCACCUGCAUCUAAUCUUAAGUCCUUAUUGGCUACACGGAUCUCAGUCUGACAAUCCAUGUUGGCACCCAUUUUUAUGUGUUUACUCAUAUUUUAUUUUAGCAAGGAAAAAAAAAAGGAGAUUGCAGAGGAUGUAAUAAAUUGGAAUUCUCUCAAGAGUUUAUGUACAUGCAUGAUAUGGGCAGAAUGAAUUAUCACAAUUAUUUUGUAA